rnacentral:lncRNA from 1 species
CUCUGUUUCCAUAGAAAGCAGUGAAAUCUCAGGAUCCCACAUCCUUUACUGUGUCAAGUCACAGCUGGUCUCCGGACUACUUGCACAGAUCGGAAGAAGUGACUCAAACCACUUUAGCACAUCCUUGCCUUCUGUGUCACAGAUGACAGUGACACUAUUUUAAAACUUGUGCAAUUAGAUAGAAAAGGAACUGAAAAUCAACUUGUGACCAGACUGGUUAUAUUGCUCCUUGCCAAGACUUUCAAGAUGUCCGGAGAAUCAUUUUAGAAAUGCUAUAUAUGGCACUCUACAUCCCUGUGCCAGAUACCACUGUGGGAGUAAAGAGCACGAGACUUUGCAAAUGUCAGUAACACAAAUAAAGGUUCAUGAAGAUAAUCAUAGCAUCUCAGUCCUUGAGGGAAAUACCACUUCAUAUGCAGCACAAACCCACUCUUGUCUUUUCCCUCUUUUAUGGUUUAAAAGGAAGUGAUGCUGCCAAUUUUGUCUUUAAAGGUGAAUUUCCUAGAUAGAUUUUAUUGAUCUUGGGCCCAGACAGAGACAGUAAGUUUUUGAUCCAUUAUAAGUUCUUGAUUCAGUGAUCACUGAUAGGAGUUCUUCCACAUAAUCUGAUGCUAGACUGCAUAUUAUAGACCCGAGAUAUUUAUUGGGGUAAGCCUUGGAGCUUAUACCCCAAUACUCAAAGACCCACACAUCUAGAGUUUCUGAACUCACACUAUCAAUAUGCAAUUUAAAAUUCCAACAAAAAGCAACAAAAAG